rnacentral:rRNA from 1 species
UACGGAGGGUGCGAGCGUUGUCCGGAAUCACUGGGCGUAAAGGGCGCGUAGGUGGCGCGGAAAGUCAACGGUGAAAGUUCGGGGCUCAACCCUGAAUCGGCCGUCGAUACUGCCGCGCUUGAGCACUGUAGAGGCAGAUGGAAUUCCGGGUGUAGCGGUGGAAUGCGUAGAGAUCCGGAAGAACACCGGUGGCGAAGGCGGUCUGCUGGGCAGUAGCUGACACUGAGGCGCGACAGCGUGGGGAGCAAACAGG